AUUGAACGCUGGCGGCAGGCCUAACACAUGCAAGUCGAACGAGUGGCGGACGGGUGAGUAGUGUCUGGGAAACUGCCUGCUGGAGGGGGCUAACUACUGGAAACGGUAGCUAAUACCGCAUACCAUCAGCUCUGCCCAUAUGGGAUUAGCUUGUUGGUGGGGUAACGGCUCACCAAGGAAACGAUCCCUAGCUGGUCUGAGAGGAUGGAUAGUCACACGGGAACUGAGGCACGGUCCAGACGCCUAAGAGAGGCAGCAGUGGGGAAUAUUGCAGAAUGGGCGAAAGCCUGAUGCAGCCAUACCGCGUGAAUGAAGAAGGCCUUAGGGUUGUAAAGUACUGACAGCGGGGAGGCGUUACCAGCAGAAGAAGCACCGGCUAACUCCGUGCCAGCAGCCGCGGUAAUAC
rnacentral:rRNA from 1 species